AACUUUCAGCAACGGAUCUCUUGGUUCUGGCAUCGAUGAAGAACGCAGCGAAAUGCGAUAAGUAAUGCGAAUUGCAGAAUUCAGUGAAUCAUCGAAUCUCUGAACGCACAUUGCGCCUGGUGGUAUUCCGCCGGGCAUGCCUGUUCGAGCGUCAGUACAACACUCAAGCUCAGCUUGGUCUUGAGCCCAGUGGGAAACCAUAGGCUUUAAAAUCAGUGGCGGCGCCAUCUGGCUCUCAGCGUAGUAAUACUCCUCGCUGUUGAGUUCCAGGUGGAUGCUGGCCAGCAACCCUCAACUUUUUUAAGUUUGACCUCGGAUCAGGUAGGGAUACCCGCUGAACUUAAGCAUAUCAAUAAGCGGAGGCU
rnacentral:misc_RNA from 1 species